GCCAUCCUUCUGGGUCGUUUUGAGUGCUGUUUGGAUCUCAAUGUGAUCAUCUGGGGAAUGUGCUCUCUUUUCAUUGGCGUCAUCUGAAAUAGAAUAAGCACGUGCUGCUUGUCUUCAUCUAAGAGCUUCCAGCAGUUCAUCAACAGAGGCAAGCGCCAGAACCCAGAGCUGCCUGAAGCAGACAGGAUGCACUUGGACGUUCGAGUAAAAAGCUGGAAGGUCAUCCUCUUCAAGGGAGCAAGGAUGGACACACAGUAGCUGCGUCUGGUGACACCGCCCCACCUUCCUGGCCCUUUCCUGCUUCUCGUCUUGAUUGUGGAUUGCCAGAUGAAUGAGAAACCUCAGCCCCAGGGCUUCAGCAGUCCCCACAGUGAAUCUACACGUGCCUUGGCUGCCUGAGGAUUCGAUGUCGUCAGCAGUGGUCAGGUCACCACCUCUCCACAUGUACAAGUCCUUGACUACCCACACCGGUCACAUGUUCCCCACCCUCUAGGGUCACGGUGAUAGUCUCUUGCAGCCAUAGAGCUCUGCUCCUCUUUAGUGGCUUUUCUUUUUUUUUUUUUUUUUUGAGACAGAGUCUCGCUUAUCGCCCAGGCUGGAGUGCAGUGGUGCAAUCUUGGCUCACUGCAAUCUCCACCUCCUGGGUUUAAGCAAUUCUUCUGCCUCAGCCUCCCAAGUAGCUUGGAUUACAGGUGUCUGCCACCACACACGGCUAAUUUUUGUAUUUUUAGUAGAUACAGGAUUUCACCACGUUGGCCAGGCUGGUCUUGAACUCCUGACCUCAAGUGAUCUGCCUGCCUCGGCCUGCCAAAGUGCUGGAAUUAUAGGCUUGAGCUACCGCGCCCGGUCCUUUAGUGGCUUUUCACAGACACAGCCCCAUGUUUCCCUGAGAGUUAGAAUGUGCUCCCAACUCUCCAAAUCCUAGAGUGCAGGUCCAACCCUCCUAACGAUGGCUUCCUCCCUGCCAGUCCCAAUUCCCCCCAGAGCACCUGGGAGCCCCGUGGAAGAAGCAUGAGACUUGGCGCCAGGUGGAUGGGGCUCCAGCCCCGGCUGGCCGAUUCCUAGCUGUUCAUUAACCUCUCUGACCUUGGUCUCCUGCUAUGCAAAAUAGGAAUAAUGGGUUUUGUGAGGUUAGAGUGAGACAAAGCAGUAAGGAGCUGGGACAGGGCUAGUCACGCUGUUAGCCCCCUGUUAUCAGCACUACUAUUGUGUCCAUUCCACACCUGCAAUUUCUUCAUCUGCGUCUAGGGAACUGAUUUCCUUUUUCACCUCCUUCUUUUGCCAGGAAGGGAAGUAUAUACACUGUAGAUACCAUUUCAUC